UCACCGGACCUUCCUUGGUGUCUUCUGGUGGUUGACGUCCGUCCUUGGUGAGCUAAGAUCCCUCAGAGCGCUUCGUACAUUGAUUGACACAAAUUGAUUGAUCAUGUUUUUACGCGAUAACAAAAGGUAAUCUCUCAGUCUCGAAUCCGAUGAAGCAAGGCUACAAUAGGUAGCCGGGGCUAGGAUUCACCUUAGGACUUUCUAUGGACUCCAUAUUGAUGGUUUAUGGCUGUUGAUUACAUGUUUGAUGAUUUGAUGAUGAUGUUCUUGAAGUUGGAAAUGAUCUGCAAUUUCGAGUUUCUGGACCUGCUUUCUGUUUUGUCGAUUUUGACCUGUUAAACUUCAUUUCUGGACUUCGACACCUUCUGGACUCUCGUAAUACGCUUGGAGAGCUUCGAUUUGAUAUCUUACGGCACUCGAUUUGGUAUCGUUUACUACCUGAAAACCUAUUCUAAAGUUUGCAUCAGAAUUAGAAGUUCUGUUGUUCUGUU